rnacentral:rRNA from 1 species
GACGAACGCUGGCGGCGUGCUUAACACAUGCAAGUCGAACGGAAAGGCCCUGCUUUUGUGGGGUGCUCGAGUGGCGAACGGGUGAGUAACACGUGAGUAACCUGCCCUUGACUUUGGGAUAACUUCAGGAAACUGGGGCUAAUACCGGAUAGGAGCUCCUGCUGCAUGGUGGGGGUUGGAAAGUUUCGGCGGUUGGGGAUGGACUCGCGGCUUAUCAGCUUGUUGGUGGGGUAGUGGCUUACCAAGGCUUUGACGGGUAGCCGGCCUGAGAGGGUGACCGGCCAGAAGGGGACUGGGAUACGGCCCGGACUCCUACGGGAGGCAGCAGGGGGGAAUAGGGCACUAUGGGCGGAGGCCUGACGAAGCACCGCCGCGGGGGGGAUGCGGGCGUUCGGGUUGUAAACCGCUGGCGCCGGUGACAAAGCGUGGGUGAGGGUAAUGGGAAAAGAAGCAACGGCUAACUACGUG